CAGACAGUCUAUUAUCUAAUGUAUUAAUCACUGAUAUUCUUAUUUCCGUAUGUAUUUAAAAUAUCAGACUGACAUUUAUUUAGAUAGCUGAGCUGAAAUUAGAAACUCUCUCUAAGAUUACAUGAAAUUAAUUUCAUCCCAUGGCGCUGAUUACACAACAAAGUAACUUAUCACGAAGGAAAGUAAAAGACGUUUGCGAACCUUUAUGAACGAUGAGUAAUGAUGGUUGAUGUAUUAGUAAAUGACCACAAGUCCGAGAACAAGAACGCCGUUGUCAGAAUUAAUUGAGGUUCAAAUGGCGGCGCCGAAACAUCGACACGACUCAGACAAAGGCAAAAUGCAACUGUGGACUGUGACAGUGGAAACAUCAAUAUUGAAAUUGAUAAGAUAAUGUCGCCCGUCGGUUCAAUAACAUGAACAAAUAAACACUAUUCUCCGUUGAACAAGAAAUUUCGACGCACGCCGUUGUCAACUUUUACCCUUUCGCAUAGUUUUAUGUGGGGCAUUAUUGAAUGAAAAAAAUCAAUAUUCGUAUCGAUUUCACAGUGACAAAUACAUUACUGAUCAAUAUUAUAAGACUAUGAUAUUAUGUUUUAAAAAUAUACAUCUGUCAUAAUUUCUAACGAGACCCGUUUCAAUACUAAUCUAUUUAAAACUUUUAAUAUUCCGUGGUAAUCUUGGUUAUAAGUAACUAAAUUACCAUAAAUCGCGAAUAUAUGUAAAUAUACCAGAUGACAGUAUGAUAAACAGAUAUAUAGAAAUAAACAUAGAUUAAAAACAUAUCAGAUUUCAAUUUUCAUGCAGUCAAGCUAAGACACACCAACAACAUAUAACAAUGAGAUAAUUACUUUCACAUGAAAUUAGCAACGUGAUUAAAUAAAAAUGCUAUCUAUACGGUAGUUCACGGUUUCCUCUACAAAUCAAUCAAACGUAGCCACGAUGCAGUAAUGAUAAACAUACCAUAAAUAGAACAUGUGCUCGCUGGCUUACACGUGUAUUUAAUGAAAUAUACUGUUAUUGAGAAUCACUGUUAUGUCAGUGAGUACAUAUUACAACAUAAAAGCAGAUUU